AAUUUUCUAGUCUAAAAAAGACUUUUACUUUGAAAGUAAACAAUUAGUGAUUUUACUAGAAAACUA
rnacentral:tRNA from 1 species